rnacentral:lncRNA from 1 species
AACAAAGGAGGAAGUAACUUGUGGAAUGCUGAGAAAGAACACAUUGGAUACACCGGUUAUUUUACCAAGGCUUUGGCUGGAAUGUUACAUUUUUGAAUGUGACCAAACUGCUUUGAGGAAUUGAGGCUGACUUUAUAAAGCCAAUAGACAUGGGAAAGACUGGCCUCAUGCCUUGCCCACACGGUUCUCUUACAAGGUUCCUCAGCUUGCGGUUUUGGUAUCAGGAUGACACCAAAAGCAAUGGCAACAAAAGCCAAAAUUGACAAAUGGAAUCUAAUUAAACUAAAGAGCUUCUGCACAGCAAAAGAAACUAUCAUCAGAGUGAACAGGCAACCUACAGAAUGGGAGAAAAUUCCUGCAAUCUAUCCAUCUGACAACGGGCUAAUAUCCAGAAUCUACAAGGAACUUAAACAAAUUUACAAGAAAAAAGCAAACAACCCCAUCAAAAAAUAGGUGAAGAAUAUGAACAGACACUUCUCAAAAGAAGACAUACAUGCAGCCAACAAACAUAUGAAAAAAAGCUUAUCAUCACUGGUCAUUAGAGAAAUGCAAAUCAAAACCACAAUGAGAUACCAUCUCAUGCCAGUUAGAAUGCAGAUCAUUAAAAAGUCAGGAAACAACAGGUGCUGGAGAAAUAGGAACGCUUUUACACUGUUGGUGGGAGUGUAAAUUAGUUCUACCAUUGUGGAAGACAGUGUGGCGAGGAUCUAGAAUCAAAAAUGCCUUUUGACCCAGCAAUCCCAUUACUGUGUAUAUACCCAAAGGAUUAUAAAUUAUUCUACUAUAAAGACAUAUGCACACAUAUGUUUAUUGCAGCACUAUUCACAAUAGCAAAGUCUUGAAACCCAAAUGCCCAUCAAUGAUAGACUGGAUUAAGCAAAUGUGGCACAUAUACACCACGGAAUACUAUGCAGCCAUGGAAAAGGAUGAGUUCAUGUCCUUUGUAGGGACAUGGAUGAAGCUGGAAACCAUCAUUCUCAGCAAACUAUCUCAGGGACAAAAAUACAAACACCACAUGUUCUCACUUAUAGGUGGGAAUUGAACAAUGAGAACACUUGGACACAGGAAGGGGAACAUCACACACUGGGGCCUGUUGAGGGGUGGUAGGUGGGGGGAGGGAUAGCAUUAGGAGAUAUACCUAAUGUAAAUGACGAGUUAAUGGGUGCAGCACACCAACAUGGCACAUGUAUACAUAUGUAACAAACCUGCACAUUGUGCACAUGUACCCUAGAACUUAAAGUAUAAUAAUUAAAAAAAAGAAAUUUGAUCCCCAAUGUUGAAGGUGGGGCCUAGUGGGAGAUGUUUGGGUCAUGGUGGUGGAUCUCUUAUUAAUAGACUGAUUUCCUGGGGUGAUGAGGGGAGUGAGUGAGUUCUUAGUUUGUUAGUUCUGCUAGAGAUGGUUGCAAAAAAUAGCUUGACACCUUCCCUCUUUCUCUUUUUUUCACUUCCUCUCCCACUGUGUGAUCUCUAUACUCUGCCUCUCCUUCCCCUUCAGCCAUAAGUGGAAGCAGCUUGAGGUCCUCAUCAGAUGUAGAUGCUGGCACCAUGCUUCUUGUACAGACUGAAGAGCCAUGAACUAAAUAAAUCUCCCUUCUUUGUAAAUUACCCAGUCUCGGGUAUUUCUUUGCAGCAAUGCUAACAGACUAAAACAUUACUACAAUUGCAUUGAUCUUCAGAUAGAUAACAAAAGAUGAG